AUUGCUGCUGGUCCAAGCACUGCACUUCGAGUAGCAAGGAUUUAGAGCAAUUCAGGGGUGAAAGAGCUACAGAUGUUCUGAUCCCAGACUUGGGAUAUGCAGAUAAAUGGGGCAUCAAGAAAGCUCUGCCCAAGUCGCUGAGACUGUCAAGGUUUCAACACACACACGCAUGCUCGUGCUCACAGACGAGAAGGAACCUACUCAAAACCUGCGUUACCGAUUUUUAUUCAUACCACACAUCACAUGGGUAAUGCAUUCAACCUGGAAGUUCGAACAUUAAUUCUUGAAGUUUCUUUUUGAGUCUCAGUCACAGGAGGAACUUUUGAAAGCAAACGUCUAAAAUACAUUCUGAUAUCCAGGCAUAUGUGUCGCCCGAGUCUUUUAAUACCUCUAACCUCAGCAGAUGGGUAUUGGGGUUUUAAUUGAUAUUAACAUGCGAUACGGCACUCACGCGCUCAUAGCCUGAGACCCCAAAAUGAGUGUGAUUAUCUCGUUGUUCAUAAAUCUGACAGCUGUUGACUGCCAGCAAUGUGAAGUGCACCAGACGCUGUGGACGAGGAGGAGAUUCAAGGACACUAAGUCCGGGCCAGGUCCCAAGAUGCCUUUCUCUAAUCGCUCAAGAGUUAACUGCCACCUUGAAUUACCUUGGAACGUACGGGGAGGAGCUGUUCUCGUCCUUCUCUGCCCUCCAAUGUUCAUCUAUACUCUGAGUGAAACAAAACAGAACAUGUGGCCAAAGGGGAGCCCUUGCGAGAAAAAGGCAGGGAAGGAGCAGACACAAACUCAUGCCGAGCUUGGGAAUUGCAGCCCUAUGGCCUGUAUCCUGGGAAAUACAGCCUGGCGCCCUGUCGGACCCACAUGGACUCAAAUUUCCCAGUUACCAUUUAAGAGCUGCCUGAUCUUGGGCUAGUCAUUUGACCCUGCUCAGCCUCAGUGUCCUCAGCAGCAUAUCUACUUCCUUGGGUCACCAUCAAGAUGGAAUGAGAUAUCGUGUACAAAGGGCCAGCGGGUCACAAGCCCCCCACGUGGAAGUAGAUGAUGCUACAGCCCAUGAACCCUUCUGCCCUCACAGAGCUUUCACCUGUUUGCAAGUUGACACUCUCCUCCGAAGCCUGCCUUUUCAAAAUAAGGGAGAUGUCCCACCCCUGGGGUUCUUUGUGAUUCUCAGAGCUUUCUUUUUCACCCAGGUAGGGAAAACUAACUUUUGUACCCAACAUUACAUCAAUGACAUUGCUUUAUCUAUGUCUUUGUUUUAUGGUGCUUUUGGCGUCCUCAUUAAGAAAUCUUUGCCUCUGCCAAGAUCAUGAAGAUAGUCUCCUAUGAUUUCUCCUAGAAGUUGACUUGUUUUACCUUUCACAUUUAAUUCUGCCAUCUACCUGGAACUGAUUUUUAAAGACACUAUUUCAAAUACUAAUUUGGUUUUUGAAUAUAAUUUGCAUAUUAAUUUGGUAGUAUUUGUCCUAAAUUUUCUUUUUUGUUUUUAAAUAAAAAACCAGGAAUUUAGACA
rnacentral:lncRNA from 1 species